GGCAGGACUUACCCGCACACACAAAAGGCUGGCUGCGAGACAAUGAGGGAGAGAAAAUGGCUCCGCAAGAAGAGCAUCUGCCAGACUUUUUAAUUGUGAUUUCCUGCGGAGAGAAUCCCUCGCUGGGCAGCAUUCCCUCCGCUGGUGGCCUUGCUGCUGCAAAUGUCAUGGAUGGGACAUUUUCACCACAUCAAACAUUUUCUCCAGAGCUCUUCUGAAAUGAGGAAUUUUUCCAGGCCAGCCUU